rnacentral:rRNA from 1 species
GGAUUAGAUACCCUGGUAGUCCACGCCCUAAACGAUGUCUACUAGUUGUUGGUGGAGUAAAAUCCAUGAGUAACGCAGCUAACGCGUGAAGUAGACCGCCUGGGGAGUACGGUCGCAAGAUUAAAACUCAAAUGAAUUGACGGGGGCCCGCACAAGCGGUGGAUUAUGUGGAUUAAUUCGAUGCAACGCGAAAAACCUUACCUGGCCUUGACAUGUAACGAACUUUCCAGAGAUGGAUUGGUGCUCGAAAGAGAACGUUAACACAGGUGCUGCAUGGCUGUCGUCAGCUCGUGCCG